GAACAGAAGAAAAAAAUUGGAGAGUAAGAUGAAACUGAAAACUAUCCAGAAUGGCGGUUUUUCUUUUUCUCAGAAAGAUGUGUUUUUAAAACGAAAAUGCACGAAAAUCUUUCUUGUUUUAGAACAUACAUCCUGUCCACCGCCGUCUGAAGGGUAAAGAAAAAAAUUUAAUCCUACACCCUGGUUAGGGAAUAAGUCAGGUAAGGUGCAGACCAUAAACAAGACUAAAUGCAUUUCACUAAGAAAGAUCAAGGUGUGGUUUGAAAGAACCUAACCAAGAAGAAUUUGAAAGUAAAGGUUUUUUAUCAAAAAUUCUUGAAUUAAAUACAAGAAAAAUGU
rnacentral:rRNA from 1 species